AGGGUUCGAUUCUGGCUCAGAACGUACGCUGGCGGCACGCCUAACACAUGCAAGUCGAACGAAGUAGCAAUACUUAGUGGCAGACGGGUGAGUAACAUGUAGGUAUCUGCCCUUUGGCCUGGAAUAACACGAGGAAACUUGUGCUAAUACCGGAUAAGUCUUUACGGAGAAAGCUUUAUGCACCAUUGGAUGAGCCUGCACUUGAUUAGUUUGUUGGUGGGGUAAUGGCCUACCAAGACUAUGAUCAAUAGCUGAUUUGAGAGGAUGAUCAGCCACAUUGGGACUGAGACACGGCCCAAACUCCUACGGGAGGCAGCAGUGGGGAAUCUUGCACAAUGGAGGAAACUCUGAUGCAGCGAUGCCGCGUGAGUGAAGAAGGCCCUUGGGUUGUAAAGCUCUUUCGUCGGGGAAGAAAAUGACUGUACCCGAAUAAGAAGGUCCGGCUAACUUCGUGCCAGCAGCCGCGGUAAUACGAAGGGACCUAGCGUAGUUCGGAAUUACUGGGCUUAAAGAGUUCGUAGGUGGUUGAAAAAGUUGGUGGUGAAAUCCCAGAGCUUAACUCUGGAACUGCCAUCAAAACUUUUCAGCUAGAGUAUGAUAGAGGAAAGCAGAAUUUCUAGUGUAGAGGUGAAAUUCGUAGAUAUUAGAAAGAAUACCAAUUGCGAAGGCAGCUUUCUGGAUCAUUACUGACACUGAGGAACGAAAGCAUGGGUAGCGAAGAGGAUUAGAUACCCUCGUAGUCCAUGCCGUAAACGAUGUGUGUUAGACGUUGGAAAUUUAUUUUCAGUGUCGCAGCGAAAGCGAUAAACACACCGCCUGGGGAGUACGACCGCAAGGUUAAAACUCAAAUGAAUUGACGGGGACCCGCACAAGUAGUGGAGCAUGUGGUUUAAUUCGAAGAUACGCGCAGAACCUUACCAACACUUGACAUGUUCGUCGCGACUUUAAGAGAUUAAAGUUUUCGGUUCGGCCGGACGAAACACAGGUGCUGCAUGGCUGUCGUCAGCUCGUGUCGUGAGAUGUUGGGUUAAGUCCCGCAACGAGCGCAACCCUCACUUUUAGUUGCCAUCAUUAAGUUGGGCACUCUGAAAGAACUGCCAGUGAUAAGCUGGAGGAAGGUGGGGAUGACGUCAAGUCCUCAUGGCCCUUACGUGUUGGGCUACACACGUGCUACAAUGGCAUCUACAACAGGAAGCAAGACGGCGACGUUUAGCAAAUCCUUAAAAGAUGCCUCAGUUCGGAUUGCACUCUGCAACUCGAGUGCAUGAAGCUGGAAUUACUAGUAAUCGUGGAUCAGCGUGCCACGGUGAAUGCGUUCCCGGGUCUUGUACACACCGCCCGUCACACCAUGGGAGUUGGUUCUACCUUAAGGCAAGGUUUAAAACCCUUGACCACGGUAUAGUCAGCGACUGGGGUGAAGUCGUAACAAGGUAGCCA
rnacentral:rRNA from 1 species